rnacentral:rRNA from 1 species
CGACAGGCUUAACACAUGCAAGUCGAGGGGCAGCACAGGUAGCAAUACCGGGUGGCGACCGGCGCACGGGUGAGUAACGCGUAUGCAACUUACCUAUCAGAGGGGGAUAACCCGGCGAAAGUCGGACUAAUACCGCAUGAAGCAGGGGCCCCGCAUGGGGAUAUUUGCUAAAGAUUCAUCGCUGAUAGAUAGGCAUGCGUUCCAUUAGGCAGUUGGCGGGGUAACGGCCCACCAAACCGACGAUGGAUAGGGGUUCUGAGAGGAAGGUCCCCCACAUUGGUACUGAGACACGGACCAAACUCCUACGGGAGGCAGCAGUGAGGAAUAUUGGUCAAUGGCCGAGAGGCUGAACCAGCCAAGUCGCGUGAGGGAUGAAGGUUCUAUGGAUCGUAAACCUCUUUUAUAAGGGAAUAAAGUGCGGGACGUGUCCCGUUUUGUAUGUACCUUAUGAAUAAGGAUCGGCUAACUCCGUGCCAGCAGCCGCGGUAAUACGGAGGAUCCGAGCGUUAUCCGGAUUUAUUGGGUUUAAAGGGUGCGUAGGCGGCCUUUUAAGUCAGCGGUGAAAGUCUGUGGCUCAACCAUAGAAUUGCCGUUGAAACUGGGGGGCUUGAGUAUGUUUGAGGCAGGCGGAAUGCGUGGUGUAGCGGUGAAAUGCAUAGAUAUCACGCAGAACCCCGAUUGCGAAGGCAGCCUGCCAAGCCAUUACUGACGCUGAUGCACGAAAGCGUGGGGAUCAAACAGGAUUAGAUACCCUGGUAGUCCACGCAGUAAACGAUGAUCACUAGCUGUUUGCGAUACACUGUAAGCGGCACAGCGAAAGCGUUAAGUGAUCCACCUGGGGAGUACGCCGGCAACGGUGAAACUCAAAGGAAUUGACGGGGGCCCGCACAAGCGGAGGAACAUGUGGUUUAAUUCGAUGAUACGCGAGGAACCUUACCCGGGUUUGAACGCAUUCGGACCGAGGUGGAAACACCUUUUCUAGCAAUAGCCGUUUGCGAGGUGCUGCAUGGUUGUCGUCAGCUCGUGCCGUGAGGUGUCGGCUUAAGUGCCAUAACGAGCGCAACCCUUGCCACUAGUUACUAACAGGUAAAGCUGAGGACUCUGGUGGGACUGCCAGCGUAAGCUGCGAGGAAGGCGGGGAUGACGUCAAAUCAGCACGGCCCUUACAUCCGGGGCGACACACGUGUUACAAUGGCGUGGACAAAGGGAAGCCACCUGGCGACAGGGAGCGAAUCCCCAAACCACGUCUCAGUUCGGAUCGGAGUCUGCAACCCGACUCCGUGAAGCUGGAUUCGCUAGUAAUCGCGCAUCAGCCAUGGCGCGGUGAAUACGUUCCCGGGCCUUGUACACACCGCCCGUCAAGCCAUGGGAGCCGGGGGUACCUGAAGUCCGUAACCGCGAGGAUCGGCCUAGGGUAAAACUGGUGACUG